GCCUCUGAGCCCAAGCCAAGCCAUCACAUCCCCUGUGACUUGCACAUAUACGCCCAGAUGCCCUGAAGUAACUGAAGAAUCACAAAAGAAGUGAAUAUGCCCUGCCCCACCUUAACUGAUGACAUUCCACCACAAAAGAAGUGUAAAUGGCCAGUCCUUGCCUUAAGUGAUGACAUUACCCUGUGAAAGUCCUUUUCCUGGCUCAUCCUGGCUCAAAAAGCACCCCCACUGAGCACCUUGCGACCCCCACUCCUGCCCGCCAGAGAACAACCCCCCUUUGACUGUAAUUUUCCCUUACCUACCCAAAUCCUAUAAAUGGCCCCACCCCUAUCUCCCUUUGCUGACUCUCUUUUCAGACUCAGCCCACCUGCACCCAGGUGAUUAAAAGCUUUAUUGCUCACACAAAGCCUGUUUGGUGGUCUCUUCACACGGACACACAUGAAAUUUAGUGCCGUGACUCGGAUCGGGGGUCCUCCCUUGGGAGAUCAAUCCCCCGUCCUCCUGUUCUUUGCUCCGUGAGAAAGAUCCACCUACGACCUCAGGUCCUCAGACCGACCAGCCCAACGAACAUCUCACCUAUUUUAAAUCAGAAGGCGGCAGGAAUGUCAGGCCUCUGAGCCCAAGCCAAGCCAUCACAUCCCCUGUGACUUGCACAUAUACGCCCAGAUGCCCUGAAGUAACUGAAGAAUCACAAAAGAAGUGAAUAUGCCCUGCCCCACCUUAACUGAUGACAUUCCACCACAAAAGAAGUGUAAAUGGCCAGUCCUUGCCUUAAGUGAUGACAUUACCUUGUGAAAGUCCUUUUCCUGGCUCAUCCUGGCUCAAAAAGCACCCCCACUGAGCACAUUGCGACCCCCACUCCUGCCCGCCAGAGAACAACCCCCCUUUGACUGUAAUUUUCCCUUACCUACCCAAAUCCUAUAAAUGGCCCCACCCCUAUCUCCCUUUGCUGACUCUCUUUUCGGACUCAGCCCACCUGCACCCAGGUGAUUAAAAGCUUUAUUGCUCACA